GCUUGUCUCAAAGAUUAAGCCAUGCAUGUCUAAGUAUAAACAAAUCUAUACUGUGAAACUGCGAAUGGCUCAUUAUAUCAGUUAUAGUUUCUUUGAUGGUUCUUACUACUUGGAUAACCGUAGUAAUUCUAGAGCUAAUACAUGCAUGAACCCCCGACUUUUGAAGGGGUGUAUUUAUUAGAUUGAAACCAAUGCGGGUUCCCCGGUAUUUGGUGAAUCAUGAUAACUUCACGAAUCGCAUGGCCUCGCGCCGGCGAUAUUUCAUUCAAAUUUCUGCCCUAUCAAUUGGCGAUGGUAGGAUAGAGGCCUACCAUGGUGUUAACGGGUGACGGGGGAUUAGGGUUCGAUUCCGGAGAGGCAGCCUGAGAAACGGCUACCACAUCCAAGGAAGGCAG
rnacentral:rRNA from 1 species